rnacentral:rRNA from 1 species
GACGAACGCUGGCGGCGUGCUUAACACAUGCAAGUCGAACGAAGAGCGAUGGAAUCUUGCUUCUAUCAAUCUUAGUGGCGAACGGGUGAGUAACGCGUAAUCAACCUGCCCUUCAGAGGGGGACAACAGUUGGAAACGACUGCUAAUACCGCAUACGAUCUAAUCUCGGCAUCGAGGAUAGAUGAAAGGUGGCCUCUACAUGUAAGCUAUCACUGAAGGAGGGGAUUGCGUCUGAUUAGCUAGUUGGAGGGGUAACGGCCCACCAAGGCGAUGAUCAGUAGCCGGUCUGAGAGGAUGAACGGCCACAUUGGGACUGAGACACGGCCCAGACUCCUACGGGAGGCAGCAGUGGGGAAUCUUCCGCAAUGGACGAAAGUCUGACGGAGCAACGCCGCGUGAGUGAUGACGGCCUUCGGGUUGGAAAGCUCUGUUAAUCGGGACGAAAGGCCUUCUUGCGAAUAGUGAGAAGGAUUGACGGUACCGGAAGAGAAAGCCACGGCUAACUACGUG